rnacentral:rRNA from 1 species
CUUUACUGUAGCUUUGCAUUGGACUUUGAACCGGUCUGUGUAGGAUAGGUGGGAGACUGUGAAGCCGGAACGCUAGUUUCGGUGGAGUCAACCUUGAAAUACCACCCUGGUUUGUUUGAGGUUCUAACCUUGGUCCGUGAAUCCGGACCGGGGACCGUGCAUGGUAGGCAGUUUGACUGGGGCGGUCUCCUCCCAAAAGGUAACGGAGGAGUACGAAGGUACGCUUAGGGCGGUCGGACAUCGCCCACAAAGUGCAAUGGCAAAAGCGUGCUUGACUGCGAGACCCACAAGUCGAGCAGGUACGAAAGUAGGUCAUAGUGAUCCGGUGGUUCUGUAUGGAAGGGCCAUCGCUCAACGGACAAAAGGUA